ensembl:processed_transcript 1700030C12Rik RIKEN cDNA 1700030C12 gene
UCGCGCCCGGGGCCCACCGCACCAGUGCCAGUUGUUCACGUUGGUCCCGUCCUCCCGCUCCUCCACGAUCCAGCGCGGGUCCCCCUGGCCCCACUUGGCCAUGGCGGCGCUGACGACGACGGCCCUGGUAGCGGGAGCGCGCGGGUUUCCGGCCAGAAGUGAUCCUCUAGAGACAAAAGAUCGUGCUUGCAAGUGCCCGGGAUUGUGGAUACAGUUACAAUAAGGGUUUAUUAAUUCUUUCCAUCGUUUUUCACCUUCUAGCAAAAACUGAAGCCACCAUCUGGAAAGUGUUUCUUAGGAGAUUAUUUUAACAAAUAAAAUAGGUAGUUCAAUGGGAGAUGGGG